GCCUUGAUCACGAGCCUCCUUUGCAUACAUGCUACUUCGGGGCAUUCCCUAGAUAAAUCAAUACAAAUCCUUCGGGGCAUUCCCCGGCCAAAUGAGUACAAUUUAAACUUUUCGUGCAAUAAAGUAGAAAGUACCAUUCACGCACAUAUUCAAAUACUCCAACAAAUCGUUAUUCCUAAAUUUUCCUACUCGGCCUACG
rnacentral:lncRNA from 1 species